GGGCGAGUGGUGCAACUGGAUAGACACGUACGGCUUAGGACCGUAUGCCGAAAGGCAUGUGGGUUCAAAUCCCACCUCGCCCA
rfam:Parcubacteria group bacterium RIFCSPHIGHO2_02_FTLL_48_10b rifcsphigho2_02_scaffold_5939, whole genome shotgun sequence.